AGGGGCAGCUGGGGCUGCAAGCUCCAUGGAGCCAGAGGGAGCCCCGCCCACCCCUUAUGAGCUGGGGCGGGAGCUCCCCAGGUGCUGUUGCAGCCGCCCAAUCCAUGGAUGCAGACCCAGGCCUCCGGCUCCACAGAGCAGGUCCGUAAAAGACCCGGGCUCAGCCGGAGCAAGGCAGAGGAUGGAGAGAUGACCAGACGACCUGUUAGCAGGUAGGAGCCACCCUCUCCAGGGCCCCAUCUCGGCUGAGAGCUGAACACUCCACCAGACGACCUGCCUACAGAGAGCGGCUACCCACUGUGGGUCUCCUCUAAGCUGUCAUAACACUCAAUAAAGCUCCUCUUCAUCUUGUUCACCCUCCAA